GCAUUGGUUGUUCACUGGUAGAAUUCUCACCUUCCAUGUGGGAGACUCAGGUUCCACUUGGGUUCCAUUUUCGGCCAAUGCA
rnacentral:tRNA from 1 species